rnacentral:rRNA from 1 species
AUUGCACGCUGGCGGCAGGCCUAACACAUGCAAGUCGCGCGAGCGGCGGACGGGUGAGUAAUGUAUGGGGACUGCCCGCUAGAGGGGGCUAACUACUGGCAACGGUGGCUAAUACCGCAUACUAUCGGAUAACCCAUAUGGGAUUAGCUAGUAGGUGGGGUAAAGGCUCACCUAGGCGACGAUCUCUAGCUGGUCUGAGAGGAUGAUCAGCCACACUGGGCCUGAGCCACGGCCCAGACUCCUACGGAGGCAGCAGUGGGGAUGAUUGCACAAUGGGCGCAAGCCUGAUGCAGCCAUGCCGCGUGUAUGAAGAAGGCCUUAGGGUCGUAAAGUACUUUCAGCGGGGAGGCGUUACCCGCCGAGGAAGCAACGGCUAACUCCGUGCCAGCAGCCGCGGUAAUAC